CAGGCCUAACACAUGCAAGUCGAACGGCAGCACUAGUAUAGCUUGCUCUCUUGGUGGCUAGUGGCGGACGGGUGUAGUAACGCGUAGGAAUCUGCCUAGUAGUGGGGGACAACUCGGGGAAACUCGAGCUAAUACCGCAUACGCCCUACGGGGGAAAGCGGGGGAUCUUCGGACCUCGCGCUAUUAGAUGAGCCUGCGUUGGAUUAGCUUGUUGGUGAGGUAAUGGCUCACCAAGGCGACGAUCCAUAGCUGGUCUGAGAGGACGAUCAGCCACACUGGGACUGAGACACGGCCCAGACUCCUACGGGAGGCAGCAGUGGGGAAUAUUGGACAAUGGGGGAAACCCUGAUCCAGCAAUACCGCGUGUGUGAAGAAGGCCUGCGGGUUGUAAAGCACUUUCAAUUGGGAAGAAAAGCCUAGGGUUAAUAACCCUGGGUCUUGACGUUACCUUUAGAAGAAGCACCGGCUAACUCCGUGCCAGCAGCCGCGGUAAU
rnacentral:rRNA from 1 species